rnacentral:lncRNA from 1 species
AAAAUAUAUCAAAAUAGUUGUAUUUACUUACAAUUUUUAAAAGUAAAUCCUCCAUCAUUUUAAAUUACUUACUAACAUCUGUUUGCCUCCACCUUCCCUUAUUUUGAAGUUUUCACUUACACCCUCAGUGACAGUUCAUCAAACAUUCUGGGCAUGCCACAAAAGGCACUGAAGCAUCAGUUGCUGUGAGCAAUACAGAGCUCUCUGAAGGUGUGGGCUGCACUGUGGAAGCCACAAGACACAGGUGGAGAAAGCAAUCUGAUUUGUCUCUCUGGCAAGCCUGCUGUAGAACACACCCUCAGUAUGGCAGAGAGUUUGAG